CCACAAUUUUCUCCCCGCUCUCUUGAUUCUGAACUGUUUCUACUGAUUUCAACUGAUGUAAAAUACAUCUGACUAAGGCUGCUAUUAUUUUGCCUAGAAUUUAGUUGCUGUUUUGUUGCAUUUAUAGCUGAAAAAAAAAAAAGGCUUUAAAAAAAAAUUAAUUAUUUACAGAUUAGAAAGAAGCAGAGGAGGAACUUUCCAUGCAGCUUAUACCUUGAUGUAAAAGCUGAGAACCACAUUUGAGAAUCACAUCUCUUCCAGAACAGUAAUGGAAGGUUCCAGUUUCAGUCAACACUGGUCAGGAGGUGGAGAGUUAAGAGGAAUACCAGUAUAUUGCAAACUGAAGCUACAUCAGAAGAAAAAAGCAAGGAGCAACAACAAGUAAUAAGGAAAUGAAAGGGCCAGACAGCUGCAGUGGGAGCAAGCGUGAGCGAUGUGAGGACAGGAGAGCUAUUUAAUACAUCGGAAAGCCGAUUCUCGAGAAGUACGGAUUUUAGAGUGCAUCUUUUCAAGCUCCUGGCAUUAUAGGGGACUCCCUCAUUAGAAAGCCACAUGCUGUCCAAGUACAGGAAUGAAAGCUGCCAGUACAGAACUGGGAGGUCAGCAAUUCUGCCAAUGAGCUCAUCAGGGUCAGCGUGGAUUCUUCAUACACCCCAGCAGGUAAAAUACAUUCAAAACAAGCAAAUGAAAAGCCAAUGAAGAAUUCAUCUCAGGAUGAAAAAAAUCUGGCUGAUGGCUGCUCUGAAAAGACCGCUUCAGUACUGGAUCAGUGGAUCCAGUUGUUACUGCUUUUCUAGAUUAUGAGACAGCUGUUAUUGGAGAUAUGUCUUCAUAUUGGUCUCAAUGAUAAAGGAACAAGAAAUCACAUUACUUCAGCCCUUGUUACGUCAUCAUCACCAGACCCAUAGAACUUUCAGAGAUAUCAGGAUUUACAGAAGGAUCUUCUAAUGAAGGAAAAAGCUAUUAAAUCAACAGAUCUUUGCAGAGAUGACUGAGAUUCUUCACUAUUUAAGCAAUUUUCAAGAGGAUUAUAUGGUGGCUUAAUUGCAGCUGUUACAUGCAAAACAAUUAGUCAGAUAACCAUGCUAGAAUUGGAAAUGUAAGAUGAUUUAAUUCUAGUGGUCUAAAAAGAAAAUUGCUUUGUUAUUUUGUGAGUAGUCUUAUCUCAUUUUCCAUUAUAACUUAAACUUUGAAUCCACCUUUCAAACAGUAUGCAAGGCAGUUCUUAAAUUAUAGCAAAGGUUUUAUUGUUGUUGCUGUUGUUUACCAGUUUUCAAAGUAUUUGGAAAAUGCAUUCCAGAGGGAAAUGCAAUCAUUUCUGUACAUAUUAUACACCUCCUAUUCACUAUAUUUGGCACCUGUCUACUUGGUAGGCCAAACAAAGCUUAUUCUCUAACAUAAAUGUGAAAAGCUGUGUAAGAGCUUUGUAAAAUUUUAAAAGCAUCAUUAAAGUUAAUCUAGAUCAGUACUCCUACUAUCAUAUGAUUCACACUAAAAAUGGACUUCUUACUCUGCAAUUUCAAGCUAACAUACAUUAAUGUCUAGGUAAGAAUGUUAUAAGAAAUGUCAAAACUUAUAACAGAAACAUUUCUAUGUAGAAUUUAAUUUACCCUUCCAUUUGACAUUCCAAAGAGUAGUUCUCAGAGGCAAUACAUGACCAUAUUUUGUAUUCUUACUGUGCACUUACCUUUUGAAUUAAAAAAAAAAAAAAAGACAACCUUUUAUGGAAAGAUAACUGUAAUCACAGUCAAGCAUUCUGUGCCUAGCUGUAUUUCUGUUUAUGAACAUAAUUUGGACCUCUUCCAUAUAAGGUUUCUGAACUGUUUGGUCACCUGGGGACAGAAGGAUUUGAGUCCUCAGUUGCAUGAUCACCCAGAGAGCUAUCAUUUCUUGAAGCACCAUAAUGAUAUUUGUAAAAUGUAAGUCUGACUAUUCUGACACUUAAAAUAAUUUUGAAGUGUGCAUGAGGUAACUAGCAGGGAAACGGAAAUAGCAAGAAGUUUGACAACUGUAUGUGAGGUUUCUGACUUCAUGAAUCCAAUAACUGCAUUUUUGAAGGGUUUCUGUAUAUAAACUGUAUGAUCAGAUAAGAUAGUGGUAACUUCCAUGUUUUCCCUGAAAAACAAAACAAACAAACAAACAAACAAAAACUUUCACAAUUUACUCUAAUUCUUAUCAAGUAAACCAAAGAAAUCUAAAAAAAUAUAAGGUAUGGUAAAUUCAAAACUGAGCCACUUAUUCUCUCUUAUUUGCAGAACACAGUUAGCAGCAAGUGUCACAAAUAGGGAAGACAAAGAGAAGAGUCUGUCUUCAACUUUUUAGGAAGAUCUAACACUAAGGUAGCACUAAGACAACAAAGUACUACAGGGCAAAAUUGUAAAGUGAAACAGAAUAAUUUUCAAUCUUGACAAUGAGGAAUUCCAAUCAGUGAUCAUAAAACUAGGUAGAACAGCAAAGUGACAGGUUUAUGACAAUGUAGACAACUGCAAUGCAAAACACUUUUGAAAGAUUUUGCCCUUCAAAAUGUGUCUUUCUCUAUGAGUUAUUCCAAUCAGGAUAGAAAUUCCAUACAGAGAUUCUUGACAACAAUUUGAAAACAGACACUAAAAAAACACUAAAAAUACCAUAACUGUCCAAAUAAGAAGAAAUUAUUCAAAAUGAAAUACCUGCAAAUAUUAAGCUGGAUAUAAAAAAUAUGAUAUUCUAAUGUUCUUUUAUUUAUCUUGUGAUAAACGCACACAUAUCUCCCUAUUGAUGGCCUCUACAUGAAAAGCAAAAUAAAAUAAAAAGAUAAAUAACUAUUUUUCAAGGAUAUGCUUGUAAGAAAACUGCUAUAAGUAUGGAGCCAUAAAAUCUGUAGAAGACAUAACAUUAAUAAACAUUACAUUAGUUUAUUUUGUGUUAUUCUGUUUCUGAAAUAAUAAAUAUCAUAAGAAUAUGAAUGGAUAAAUCUGUCUACUUUUUUGCCUUAAUUAACUAGCCAGCAAAAUUGACAAGUUAACAAUUACAACUGAUAACUGUAAGAAAUCUUUUACAUAUAAGUAACAUACUGUGGACACUGCUGUGAUAAGGUAUCAGAAAGUUUAGAUGUUCAGUG
ensembl:lncRNA